UAGCGAAGGGUGCAAGCGUUACGUCGGAAUUACUGGGCGUAAAGCGUGCGUAGGUGGUGAGUUAAGUCUGAUGUGAAAUCCCCGGGCUCAACCUGGGAAUGGCAUUUGUGACUGUAGAGCUGGAGUGCGGCAGAGGGGGAUGGAAUUCCGCGUGUAGCAGUGAAAUGCGUAGAUAUGCGGAGGAACACCGAUGGCGAAGGCAAUCCCCUGGGCCUGCACUGACGCUCAUGCACGAAAGCGUGGGGAGCAAACAGG
rnacentral:rRNA from 1 species